rnacentral:rRNA from 1 species
UACGUAGGGGGCAAGCGUUGUCCGGAUUUAUUGGGCGUAAAGAGCGUGUAGGCGGCCAAACAGGUCCACUGUGAAAAACUCGAGGCUCAACCUCGAGAGGUCGGUGGAAACCGUCUGGCUAGAGUCCGGAAGAGGAGAGUGGAAAUUCCCGGUGUAGCGGGUGAAAAUGCGCAGAUAUCAGGAAGAAACACCCCGUGGCGAAAAGCGGCUCUCUGGGACGGGUACUGACGCUGAGACGCGAAAGCGUGGGGAGCGAACAGG